AAUAGAGGACGGGGGAGAGGAGGAGAGAGCCCGGCCCUGAUGACAGAGAAGUGGAGCAGCCACUGAGACCUGGCCAUGAUAAAUAAAUAAAUCCAGAUUCUCAACAUCUGAUUAUAAAUUACAGAAUUAUUUCUAGAUUUCUCUAUGGACCAGAACCCUGUAGACUCAUCAGACGAUAGCAGAGAUAUCUCCAGGGGGUUCUUCUACCUGGUCCCUUGUCUUCAUCUUGUAGAUAAAUAUCGGCAGAGACCUGAGAGCAAAGAGAAGAGAUAUUCAUCUGGAAAUGAAGAAUAAAGAAAUAUCUGAUGAACACAGAAGAAUAAGCACCCCAAUUGUUUUGGGCAAUUUCUCCUGAACACAGCUGUGAUCAUAGGCAGCUGGACACACAGCAAGACACAGAAAGG